rnacentral:rRNA from 1 species
UACGUAGGGACCAAGCGUUGUCCGGAAUCAUUGGGCGUAAAGCGCGCGUAGGCGGCCCGGUAAGUCCGUUGUAAAAGUCGAAGGCUCAACCUUCGAAAGCCGAUGGAUACUGCCGGGCUAGAGUACGGAAGAGGCGAGUGGAAUUCCCAGUGUAGCGGUGAAAUGCGUAGAUAUUGGGAGGAACACCAGUGGCGAAGGCGGCUCACUGGACCGGUACUGACGCUGAUGCGCGAAAGCGUGGGGAGCAAACGGG